CGAACGGGUGGAGUAACACGUGGGCAACCUGCCCAAAAGAAGGGGGAGUAACACUUGGAAACAGGUGCUAAUACCGCAUAACCAUAGUUACCGCAUGGUAGCUAUGUAAAAGGUGGCUAUGCUACCGCUUUUGGAUGGGCCCGCGGCGCAUUAGCUAGUUGGUGGGGUAAAGGCUUACCAAGGCAAUGAUGCGUAGCCGAACUGAGAGGUUGAUCGGCCACAUUGGGACUGAGACACGGCCCAAACUCCUACGGAAGGCAGCAG
rnacentral:rRNA from 1 species